UGGUCAAUAACCUAACCACUGGAGACUUAAAGAAAUAAAUAACCUACAAAUCUUGGAAGACAAGAAACAUGUUAAUAACCUAUUGGCAGAAUUCGAUAGCAAGAUAACAUACUGGAAGCACGUGUACGUGAUUUUUUCAACCUGCCCAUCUGUCCGACGAUUUCUAUUUUGGCUUUUUCUUUGUGAUUCUUUCGACCUGCCCAUCUAUCUGACGAUCUAUGACCUGCAUUUCUCUGUAUCAAAAGUCACCAAAUUGGUGUUUUUGGGGUCAAACUGUUAGGGGGUUUUCAAGAAAGGUCGAGCCAUUCAAAGGCGCAUAAUACGAACUAUAAGUGUGGAAAGGGAACGAAUGCCAGACGAGGCAAAUGUGUAUGUGAGCAACAAGGUUAUGAAGGUUUCAGAGGUGGGCGGACUAGGGUUUGGCAACAAUAGCGUGGGGUUGGAUGGACCAAGGUUUGGUGGCUAUGGCACUGGGAAGAGGCAAGUCUAAAUGAUAUGCAUGAUAUGAAUAUUUUUUCUAUGUAUAACUUAUUAUAGGAAUGGAUUUUUCUAUGUAACGCAUAACAUGAAUUGAUGGUCACUAUAUUUUUUAUAAAAUUAUAAAGGAAUUAGAGUUGAA